AGUGAACGCUGGCGGCAGGCCUAACACAUGCAAGUCGAGCGGCAGCGCGGGGGCAACCCUGGCGGCGAGCGGCGGACGGGUGAGGAAUGCGUCGGAAUCUGCCUCUUUGGGGGGGAUAACGUAGGGAAACUUACGCUAAUACCGCAUACGACCUACGGGUGAAAGUGGGGAUCCGCAAGGCCUCACGCAGAGAGAUGAGCCGACGCCGGAUUAGCUAGUUGGCGGGGUAAAGGCCCACCAAGGCGACGAUCCGUAGCUGGUCUGAGAGGAUGAUCAGCCACACUGGAACUGAGACACGGUCCAGACUCCUACGGGAGGCAGCAGUGGGGAAUAUUGGACAAUGGGCGCAAGCCCGAUCCAGCCAUGCCGCGUGUGUGAAGAAGGCCUUCGGGUUGUAAAGCACUUUUGUCCGGAAAGAAAAGCAUUCGGUUAAUAACCGGGUGUCAUGACGGUACCGGAAGAAUAAGCACCGGCUAACUUCGUGCCAGCCGCCGCAGUAAUAC
rnacentral:rRNA from 1 species